CCUGAGAAGGUGGUGGCACCUCAGAUGGCCACACGGGGACCUGGUGGUGGCACCUGCAUGGUGAUGAAGUGAUGUCACCAUGGGAGGGUUUGGGUUCAACCUGGACAUCCAGGUGUGUGUGUGUUCCCUGUCACCCUGAACCUGGACAUCCAGGUGUGUGUGUGUGUCCCUUGUCGCCUGGGGACAUGCAGGUGUGUGUUCCCUGUCACCCUGAACCUGGACAUCCAGGUGUGUGUGUUCCCUGUCACCCUGAACCUGGACAUCCAGGUGUGUGUGUCCCCUGUCACCCUGAACCUGGACACUCAGGUGUGUGUGUCCCCUGUCACCUUUAACCUGGAUAUCCAGGUGUAUCACCUGCCACCCUAAACCUGGACUUCCAGGUGUGUGUGUGUCCCCUGCCAUCCCUGGCUGAAGGGACAUUAAAAACAUCUCGUUCCACCUCUGGGCCGCUAUCCCAGGUUCUCCACGUGGCUUUGGGCACUUCCAGGGAUGCAGCAGCCGCAGCUUGGGGACAUUCCUGAGCUGAGGGCGAGGCUGUGUCACUCCCUGUGCUUUAUUGAGCAGCCAGGACCUCAGAGCUCGGUCUGU